CCUACGGGGGGCAGCAGUGGGGAAUAUUGCACAAUGGGGGAAACCCUGAUGCAGCGACGCCGCGUGAGUGAAGAAGUAUUUCGGUAUGUAAAGCUCUAUCAGCAGGGAAGAAAAUGACGGUACCUGACUAAGAAGCCCCGGCUAACUACGUGCCAGCAGCCGCGGUAAUACGUAGGGGGCAAGCGUUAUCCGGAUUUACUGGGUGUAAAGGGAGCGUAGACGGCCAGACAAGUCAGAAGUGAAAGCCCAGGGCUCAACCCUGGGACUGCUUUUGCAACUGAUGUUCUUGAGUGGGCGAGAAGUAU
rnacentral:rRNA from 1 species